UUAAGUUAUUAAGGGCGCACGGUGGAUGCCUUGGCACUAGAAGCCGAUGAAGGACGUUACUAACGACGAUAUGCUUUGGGGAGCUGUAAGUAAGCUUUGAUCCAGAGAUUUCCGAAUGGGGAAACCCAGCAUGAGUUAUGUCAUGUUAUCGAUAUGUGAAUACAUAGCAUAUCAGAAGGCACACCCGGAGAACUGAAACAUCUUAGUACCCGGAGGAAGAGAAAGAAAAUUCGAUUCCCUUAGUAGCGGCGAGCGAAACGGGAAGAGCCCAAACCAACAAGCUUGCUUGUUGGGGUUGUAGGACACUCUGUACGGAGUUACAAAGGACGACAUUAGACGAAUCAUCUGGAAAGAUGAAUCAAAGAAGGUAAUAAUCCUGUAGUCGAAAAUGUUGUCUCUCUUGAGUGGAUCCUGAGUACGACGGAGCACGUGAAAUUCCGUCGGAAUCUGGGAGGACCAUCUCCUAAGGCUAAAUACUCUCUAGUGACCGAUAGUGAACCAGUACCGUGAGGGAAAGGUGAAAAGCACCCCGGAAGGNGAGUGAAAUAGAACCUGAAACCGUGUGCUUACAAGUAGUCAGAGCCCGUUAAUGGGUGAUGGCGUGCCUUUUGUAGAAUGAACCGGCGAGUUACGAUUUGAUGCAAGGUUAAGCAGUAAAUGUGGAGCCGUAGCGAAAGCGAGUCUGAAUAGGGCGUUUAGUAUUUGGUCGUAGACCCGAAACCAGGUGAUCUACCCUUGGUCAGGUUGAAGUUCAGGUAACACUGAAUGGAGGACCGAACCGACUUACGUUGAAAAGUGAGCGGAUGAACUGAGGGUAGCGGAGAAAUUCCAAUCGAACCUGGAGAUAGCUGGUUCUCUCCGAAAUAGCUUUAGGGCUAGCCUCAAGUGAUGAUUAUUGGAGGUAGAGCACUGUUUGGACGAGGGGCCCCUCUCGGGUUACCGAAUUCAGACAAACUCCGAAUGCCAAUUAAUUUAACUUGGGAGUCAGAACAUGGGUGAUAAGGUCCGUGUUCGAAAGGGAAACAGCCCAGACCACCAGCUAAGGUCCCAAAAUAUAUGUUAAGUGGAAAAGGAUGUGGCGUUGCCCAGACAACUAGGAUGUUGGCUUAGAAGCAGCCAUCAUUUAAAGAGUGCGUAAUAGCUCACUAGUCGAGUGACACUGCGCCGAAAAUGUACCGGGGCUAAACAUAUUACCGAAGCUGUGGAUUGUCCUUUGGACAAUGGUAGGAGAGCGUUCUAAGGGCGUUGAAGCAUGAUCGUAAGGACAUGUGGAGCGCUUAGAAGUGAGAAUGCCGGUGUGAGUAGCGAAAGACGGGUGAGAAUCCCGUCCACCGAUUGACUAAGGUUUCCAGAGGAAGGCUCGUCCGCUCUGGGUUAGUCGGGUCCUAAGCUGAGGCCGACAGGCGUAGGCGAUGGAUAACAGGUUGAUAUUCCUGUACCACCUAUAAUCGUUUUAAUCGAUGGGGGGACGCAGUAGGAUAGGCGAAGCGUGCGAUUGGAUUGCACGUCUAAGCAGUAAGGCUGAGUAUUAGGCAAAUCCGGUACUCGUUAAGGCUGAGCUGUGAUGGGGAGAAGACAUUGNGUCUUCGAGUCGUUGAUUUCACACUGCCGAGAAAAGCCUCUAGAUAGAAAAUAGGUGCCCGUACCGCAAACCGACACAGGUAGUCAAGAUGAGAAUUCUAAGGUGAGCGAGCGAACUCUCGUUAAGGAACUCGGCAAAAUGACCCCGUAACUUCGGGAGAAGGGGUGCUCUUUAGGGUUAACGCCCAGAAGAGCCGCAGUGAAUAGGCCCAAGCGACUGUUUAUCAAAAACACAGGUCUCUGCUAAACCGUAAGGUGAUGUAUAGGGGCUGACGCCUGCCCGGUGCUGGAAGGUUAAGAGGAGUGGUUAGCUUCUGCGAAGCUACGAAUCGAAGCCCCAGUAAACGGCGGCCGUAACUAUAACGGUCCUAAGGUAGCGAAAUUCCUUGUCGGGUAAGUUCCGACCCGCACGAAAGGCGUAACGAUUUGGGCACUGUCUCAACGAGAGACUCGGUGAAAUCAUAGUACCUGUGAAGAUGCAGGUUACCCGCGACAGGACGGAAAGACCCCGUGGAGCUUUACUGUAGCCUGAUAUUGAAAUUCGGCACAGCUUGUACAGGAUAGGUAGGAGCCUUUGAAACGUGAGCGCUAGCUUACGUGGAGGCGCUGGUGGGAUACUACCCUAGCUGUGUUGGCUUUCUAACCCGCACCACUUAUCGUGGUGGGAGACAGUGUCANGCGGGCAGUUUGACUGGGGCGGUCGCCUCCUAAAAGGUAACGGAGGCGCUCAAAGGUUCCCUCAGAAUGGUUGGAAAUCAUUCAUAGAGUGUAAAGGCAUAAGGGAGCUUGACUGCGAGACCUACAAGUCGAGCAGGGUCGAAAGACGGACUUAGUGAUCCGGUGGUUCCGCAUGGAAGGGCCAUCGCUCAACGGAUAAAAGCUACCCCGGGGAUAACAGGCUUAUCUCCCCCAAGAGUUCACAUCGACGGGGAGGUUUGGCACCUCGAUGUCGGCUCAUCGCAUCCUGGGGCUGUAGUCGGUCCCAAGGGUUGGGCUGUUCGCCCAUUAAAGCGGUACGCGAGCUGGGUUCAGAACGUCGUGAGACAGUUCGGUCCCUAUCCGUCGUGGGCGUAGGAAAUUUGAGAGGAGCUGUCCUUAGUACGAGAGGACCGGGAUGGACAUACCUCUGGUGUACCAGUUGUCGUGCCAACGGCAUAGCUGGGUAGCUAUGUGUGGACGGGAUAAGUGCUGAAAGCAUCUAAGCAUGAAGCCCCCCUCAAGAUGAGAUUUCCCAACUUCGGUUAUAAGAUCCCUCAAAGAUGAUGAGGUUAAUAGGUUCGAGGUGGAAGCAUGGUGACAUGUGGAGCUGACGAAUACUAAUCGAUCGAAGACUUAAUCAA
rnacentral:rRNA from 1 species